UGCCUACGGGGGGCAGCAGUAGGGAAUCUUCCACAAUGGACGAAAGUCUGAUGGAGCAACGCCGCGUGAGUGAAGAAGGGUUUCGGCUCGUAAAGCUCUGUUGGUAGUGAAGAAAGAUAGAGGUAGUAACUGGCCUUUAUUUUACGGUAAUUACUUAGAAAGUCACGGCUAACUACGUGCCAGCAGCCGCGGGAAUACGUAGGUGGCAAGCGGUGUCCGGAUUUAUUUGGCGUAAAGCGGGUGCAGGCGGCUCAAUAAGUCUGAUGUGAAAGCCUUCGGCCCAACCGGAGAAUUGCAUCAGAAAC
rnacentral:rRNA from 1 species